CGCAGGCUGAGUAAUCUAUAAGCUAACUACGUCAUUCGGUGAAUGCGGGGCGUGCCAACUCGUCGGCCGAGCUCAGCCGAGGAGUAAAUUUGUUGAUGUUGCGUUAAGCGCGCGGCUGACUUCUGCGUCUUGCGAUUGCGACCGAGGAAGGAACACGUCUCGGCCUCUUGGGUUCUCGAACCUGAAGACAAGGUUACUAUUCUUACGAAGUUCACGAAUCGCCGUCGUCGGAUUCGGUCACCGCGAUGUUAUUCGUCAGAGUAAACUCACGUUGAAUUGACACCAAAGUGUAAGGGCACAAAUACUCAAAGCGAAUAUAAGUCUUUAUAGUGAACGUGAUUCGGCCGUCUGAAUGCCGAACUCUGAAUCCCACUUGAGAGUAUCCAAUCAUAAAACAACUCGGCAUGCAAUGCGCCAAGCUUAGUAAAUUGUAACACCUCACUUCGCCGGGAAGGCUAAUGAGAUGACCUCAAUCAAUAAGGAUUCAGAAAUCCUUCUCGACCGAGACUGGAUAGGUAACCAACCGUCCUCGCCGCAGUGCUGUUAAUGCCAACGGAAGAUACUGCGAGAUCGGCCAAUUCUACGGCGACAGAGCUAUCUAUGCCGACUUAAGGUGUCACCGAUUGCUUUCACAGUGCUGUUGAUGCCAACGGAAGAUGUGUCAGCGAAAAGAGAAAAUAAAAAUCUCAAGUUGUUGAGAGAGUUUGCGCAGGGCAAUUGUGUGUUGAAUUGGAGGGGCUUUAAAUGAUUCACAGCCUCUUCUAUUUAUAGCAACGGAUCCCCCAAGGUCGAGUUAAAACCCUAUUUGGACUAGGACUUCUUCUCCUGGUCAAACACUGACUCGACCAAUCCUACUUUCAUUAUGACUGUGAACCUAGUCCUUUAUUGAUCCGGAUUUGUUUUCGGGUUAUUAAUCCUGCCGAAACUCCUUAUUGCACCAGGACUCGACUAGUCUUAUGUCAUGACCUAGCCGACCUAGGUUUGGAGGCCCACGUACUGAACGAUUCAUAGCACCCUUGUCGCAAGGCCUUCCGGGCCGAGAAUGAUUCUAUACUCGGCACAAACUAUUAUUUUGGGCCUAAACAUUGCCCCCUCGCUUCUGAGGCCUUCGGCCUGAACCCUCUGGCCGAGCUCCGGCCUUGAAGAAGCGAAAUUAAAGCUCAAAACUCAAAUGCUCUCAUUUCGAGGUGCAUUUAUUGAACACGAUUACACGAUCUUGAUUCUGCUAACCACCAUUCCACGUGGCAUUCUUCUAUAGGGCUAAUCCCUAAUAGUGACGUUUGAAGCGUGCCGCUCCCUGAACAGUCAUAUCAUCAUGGUCUUGUUGCUGAACACCACCAUGCCACCUCGAUCUGCGAACCAUUCAGCAUAGUGAAGACGCCGAACUGUCUUUCACCAUAAAUCUCGUCGCCACACGCAAUCGUGUGUCCCCUGAAACACGAAACCCUCGGUCUUCUCAACUGGAUUUUCUGAAUGUUCAUAAUGAUUAGCGAAUCUCUCGGUCGAUUUUACCCCUCAUUUUAAAUUUCGAACGAUUGCCCUUCCCUCCAUCGUCCUAUAAAUACCGAAAUCCUCUCAUUUGUACUUUUACGCGUUCAAAUUUUUUGAAUUUCUUGCCAUUGCUCUCUAGCGUAUUUCUUUUCCCUAGGUCUUCAUCUUCAAGUCCCCCAACCCAGAAAAACCCCUUUUCGCAUCGUACUUUUUAACCCUCCUACAAUGGCCUCCUUCAUCUCUAAGCUUUCCAGGGAAUGUGAUCAGUGUCAGAAAAUUCUUAAUCGAAGCACAAUCAAAACCAUACGGUUUGAAAGUGACAUGAGCGCUUCUCACCAAAUCUUGGGUCCUCUUUUUAAGGCGGUAGUACCAUCAGCCAUUACCGGACUUCUCCAGGAGCAUUGCCUAUCGCCCUUGCUCCAAGGGUUUGAAUGGUCGAGAUGGGAUGCGGCAAGGCCUCAAGGCUCUUGGCCUUUGACCACUACAACCUGGGCAGCCUGGGUUGUACGAAUGGAAAAGCUCUUUGGCGAGCAAUGGAAAGCCCUCGGUAUCUAUGACGCCAUUCUCCUCUCGUCUAUGGAUGUCGUUCUCGACAAGGAGCUUCUCCUAGCCGCCCUAUGCUUUUGGUGUUCGGCCACCAACACCAUGGUCCUCCCUCUUGGUCCCGUUGGCCCUACCAUUCUUGAUAUCACCGCCAUUUUGGGAACUUUAGCAUCUGGAAUCCCCAUCGAUGCUGCCCUCUCUGGGUACCCGUCGAACCUGAACCUGAAGACGCUUUUCGACAGACAGGCUUUUGAGACGUUGAGCAGUGAGGGUCAAACCCCCUCGAAAGAAGACGUUCAGAAACUUCACAAGAACUUCUUCAACUACAACACCCUCUAUCUCCAUUUUGCCGGCCGAGGAGAAGAGGCUCUGCGAGAAGGGGAACAUGAGGCUUUCCUCUUCUAUUUGUACAACAAGUACAUUUGUUGUACUAAAUCUAACAAAUGCUUGGUCGGGAACAUGCCGGUGGCCGAGGCCCUGGCUAGUAGUCACGCCCUGUCACUUAGCUCCAACAUUCUUGCCCAUCUCUUCCGCUGUCUGGCUGAGACGACCCUUCACAAGAUCGACCCAUACCAGAAUGGUCCCCUUUGGGUCUUUCAACUCUAGCUGCAAGUUUACUUCACCUCACUUCGGCCGGCAAUCGUCGAUUUCUUGCCAACGGAAGCGUUUGGGCCUCAGUUGGCCUCCCGACCAACACCCCCUCACUAAGCCGAAGAGGUAUUUAGAUACUUUUUCGCCCUUGAUGACCUUUCCAACGACGAGUUCUUGAUAUGUCGUCGUCGAUAAUAUCCUUCCUCAAUCAAGCUACCUAUAUCAACGUGGGGCGCGGACGAAGAUGCCGACCUUCAUCAGUCUUGGGGGUCAUUCGUGCUCACUCGCGACCUUCUUCUCGGCUGUGAUGGGAAACGAGCGGGCUGGAAAGUGUACCAUCCUAACUUCCUAGCUCGACAGCUUGGCUACCUCCAAGGCUGCCCGGUCCCCCUUCUCUCCUCACGGACCGUCCUAAGCCAUGGACGCGAGCCUGGUUCCUCGGAGAAGGAAUGCAAUAUCGCCAAGAGGGAGUUUCAAGAGCAAUGUCAAAGUUUCCGCCUCCGACCGGCCAUCCCAGAAACACUUAGUACCGAUACUUUUGGCGAGUGGUGGGAAAAGUAUGCCCAGGAGUUCUUUGGUGUUCCGGUCGAAACCGUUUUGGACAAACUUUUCGGUGAUCGACCUAAGAAGGCUUCUGUCUCCCAAGCCCAAGGUAACUGUUUAUUUCCCCCCUUUUUCUUUUCAAUUUUGAACUAUUGAUCGGUUUUGCUGAUUUGCUUUUACGUUCUCAGGUAGUCGACCGUUGAAAAAGGUAGAGACGAUCGCUGCAGUUGUGGCCAAGAAAAAAUCGGUCGUCUCUAAAAAGACAACGAUUGCCGCGCAGGCUUUGCUGAGUAAACGGGAGAUUCACGUCAUUUCUAGUCAAACCACGGGAGCGACGACCCUCAGAGUUUCCCCUUCUCCCCCCGUCGCCCAAGCCUUGGUCGAGAAUCAGCUAAUUCCGACCGAGGAAGCAGUCCAAGCGCGGCCUGUUUCUAAGGUUGGGAAACUAGUUGUUGUUCCCUUGGUCGAUUCUGCACCUGUCUUAAAAAAGGCAGUCUCCUCGACCGAGAAAACUUCUUCUGCAAAACCCUCGGUCGUCGUUUUAGAGGAGAGUGAGGGGAGCGACGAAGUGCCUCUGGUGAGUCGCCCUCGUUCCCAUCGUCAACCUCCUCCCGUGUCCGAGGUGGCUAUCCAAGUCGGCCUUACGUAGCCGACCAUAGCAAACCACCGGCCGGAGAGCCAGCAGCGGCGACGAAAGCUCCCAUUCACCCGCAAGACCAGGACCUCCACUCCGUGCCUGAAGCUGCUGUCCGAUUCGGCCCGUCUAUGGCUGACUGCAGUAAACGACCUGUCGGGGAGCCAGAAGCGUCGGCGGAGAUGCCCGUUCAUCCGCAGGACCAAGAUCUCAAUAUUCCUUAGCAAGAGGUUACUUCGGCCUUUGUAAGUACCUCAUUCCGCCUUUUCUUAGUUAGUUUUUUGCCGUAAAAACUCUAAACCAGGAAAAUACUAAAUGUCAGGUGCCUGCACACUCUUUUCAUCAAAAAUUUUAUGCGCCGAAGGGUGUUAUCUAUAUUUCUUGGCCGCCUCAGUGGCCAUCGAAUAUAGAUAACCUCCAUCGGCCGCGUGAACUGAGAAGCAGCCUAAGACACUGGGCUCGGCCAUUAAGCUCUUUAGGUUCGAGCAACGAUCCUGAAGACAUGGCCGAAGUCUCCUCUCGGCAGGUUAAAAGAAACGAAACCUUCUCGCUAUCUUUUUAGGAUUUCUUUGAGCUCAACUUUAUUUUUGUGUGCAGGCUUCAUGGGAAGUCGAAUUCAAAGCCCUCAUGUCCAGCACAACUGGAGGGGCUGGUCAUUCGGUCGCCGCGACUGACGCUGCUGAUUCAACUGCUCUAACUCUGUUGCAAGGGGUCUUGUCGCUUUUCGACGUCUCAAGUACUCGAGCGCAACGGUCUUGACUUGGUCGGUGCAUGUCUAAACAACCUCGGAGCCGAUGGUCACCUGAGCGGCGAGGCUAUCAUUCAAGCGUCGUCUACCUUGGAACGGGUUCGGAAGACCUUUAAUAUCUUUCAGAACGCUCUGAAGGCCGAACAAGACCUGCAAGCUGCCCGGCCGUCCAAGAUACUCUCCGUCCAAAGAUCGAUGCUUUAAAGGCAAAAGGAGAGGCCUUGGCCGACCUCGACCAUCAAAUUGCCGAGUUGGCGAAACGCAGGUCGGCCAUUGCCUCUGAGAUUGCUAGGGACUUUGAAUCGGGUGGCAAAGCUUGCUUAACCGAGUAUGCGGUGAACACAAAAUGGAUCGAGCAGUUGAAGCUAGAGAAAAAGAACCGGGUUUAGGCUUACCUCGACUGGUAAACUACUUUGUUCAAUUAACCACAAUGAGUUUAUGCUUAACUCGACUGGUAACAUUGCAUCGUGUCCGUAGGUUAGUGCAUACGGGGUUGUCGCAAUCGCCGAUUGGGGCGAUGUUCGAUUUGCCCAUAAUGCCUCAUUCAACUUCAAAUGCCAUAUGCCAGGCUUUUCUUUUAUUAUUUUCUCGAGAAUGCCGAUCAUAACUUUAUUGCUUGCCUUAACCUGCCCAUUUGCUUAUGGAUAAUAUGGUGUAGACUGUUCGAGCUGAAUUUUCAAAUUUGCUGUAUACUCUUUAAACCUCUCGGCUGUAAAGAUUGUGCCAUUGUCAGUUAUGAUCGUUUCUGGCACACCAAAUCUGGUCACAAUGUGUUCCUCCACAAAGAUGCAAACUUCUUUAGAUGUUAGCUUGGCAUAAGAUUUCGCUUCGACCCACUUAGUAAAGUAAUCGGUUGCUACUAUUAUCCAUGUGUGCUUGGCAGGCCCGGAAGAUGGUGUAAUUUUGCCGAUUACGUCUAUGGCCCAUCCUCUAAACGGCCAUGGUUUAAUGACCGAAUGCAACGAUUCGGCCGGGACCCUUUGUAUAGGCCCGUGAAUCUGGCACUGUAUGCAUCCUCGUGCAAACUCGAUACAAUGCUUUAGUAUUCUUGGCCAAAAAUAGCCGUGUCGUCGAAGUAGCCAUCGCAUUUUCUGUCCGGAUUGAUGAGCUCCUCAAAUCCCUUCAUGUACUUCUGUGAUCGCCUGAGCACCCUCUUAGGGGCCGAGGCAUAGUAGUAGCAGUCUAUCCUCGCCUUUCCGGUAUAACUCAUUUUGAUACAUGACAUAGUUCGUGGCGUGAACUCGUGUCUUACGACUAUGUUUGCCAUUAGGAUUGUCAAGGUACUGCUGAUCGGAUCAUAUUUAUAUAUAUUUUUACUUCAAAUUCACUCGUCUUUUCUUAGUUAGUUCCUUAUAUUUUUGAGCUAUUUACGUUAUUUUUGUGUUUAUAGGAUUUGUUAUGCAAAGAAAAUAAAAAUAGCACAAAUGAGUUUUAAAUAAUAAACAGAAAAUAGUGGAACACGGGUGGACCACUAGAAAAAUAAUGGAGAGCAUAAAAUAUAUAUAUAUAUAAUAUAUACAUAUAAAUAGAUAUAGAUAUAUAAAUAAUAUAUAUAUAUAUAUCACAUAUAUAUCUAUAUAUAGUGGGAGUUGGUGAAUGGCAUUUGUGAAGUGCGGUAGGUGUGUGUGCAGCUAAUAAACAAAAGAAAUGAAAGCUGCACUUGCAGCUAGUGUAAGAAAAGAGGAUUAAACAAAACUAUUGAGUGCAGUGUGGUUGGUGAGCACAGAAAAUAAGAAGAACUUGGCAGCAUUUGAAGAAGCAGCACGUGGAGAAAUAUAAGCUGCCUUUGCAGCUGAGGCUCGGGGGGGGGGGAGCUGCCUUUGGGCAGCUCGCAGAGAGCGCAUGAGUCGCAGGAAAACGGGGGGAGCAAGUCAGGGGCUUGCGGAGUGUGAAAAGAGAAGGCAGCCUUGCUGCCAGAAAGAAAAAAAAAGGAAAUAAAAAAAUAGAAGAGAGAGGAGAUACAGCGUGAGGGAUGGUGAGUACGGGACUGCAAGGAAAUGUGAGGUCAGAUGGGGGAGGCUGCCCUUUGGCGGCAGGAGAAGGAAACAAAUGGCUGUCUGGGGGCCUUGAGAAACACACGGUAGGAGAGAGACAGCAGCGUGAGAGAGUGAGGGAGCUGCCCUUUUGGGCAGCGUGAAGACAGACAGAAAAUAGAAAAUAACAGAAGAGGGAGACAGAGGAGACGUGGGGGGACUGAAGGCUGCCUUGCAGCGUGGGAAAGUAGAACGGGAAAAGAAAAGAAUAGAGUACGGGCAGGUCAACAAGAACGGACAGAGAGCAGGGAAGGAGAAACGGGCAGAAAGCAGCAGAUCCUCUUUCGGUUUAAUUUUUCCAAACUUCUCUUUUAUUUCUGUUUUUAAUAAUGUGUAAUUAAAUUUAUGUUGGCUAGAGGUUAAUUCAAAGCCAUGAAUAUAUUUGUAAUAUGAAUUGAUUACCUUCAGUUGUGAUUUCUGAGUUGUGAUUUAAUUUGCUUAACUGCUUGAUAGAUAACUUAUUUUUGUAUGUCGAUUAAGGAUGCAUACUUAAUUUACAUGCAUGAAUUUGAUACUAGAAUAUAAGUGAAUUUCACCUAAUCGUUAUGAACUUAUAUUCACAAGUAGUGAAGGUUGUUAUCCACAAUCGUGUUAAGUGAAUUCUUGGCAUAAGUUUCAUGCAAAUCAUAGUAACGAGUGCCUCGUCAAUGCUUAUGUUUUUCAUAGAACUUAAUGAUUCUUGCUUGUAUCUCUAUUAUGCAAUUCAUGUAGGGAACUUGUAGGGAAUGUUUUGGGUUGUCGUAUGCAAUCAUCCAACCCAAUAACUUGUGGAAAAACUGAGGGUUAAUUAGUGCAAUUCACGGUUAAUUUGGGGCGUUGAGAUUUACAAUUUAUUGAAAGAACAACUGAAAAUCAAUUUAGGUUGCAUAUGUGUCAUGUGUGGAGAAGAACCCUCUAGCUAGUCUGUCAUUUAUCAUUUUACCUUACUUUUAUGUUUUUGUCAAUUCUGUAAUUUAUUUAAGUUUAAUUUAGUUCUCGUCAAAACCAAAAACCCCCCAUUAUUAAAUUAUAUUAUUUAGUUAGUUUUCAUUGUUGUUAGUCUUUUAAUUCAAUUUCCGUCCAUUUCAAUUCCUAGUGUCUAAUUUGAUUGUUUUCAUUAUUUUGAGUCAUUCUAAGUGUGUUUCGAGUUAUUAGAGUUUUUAGCCUAGUUUUGUGUCCUUGAGUCUUGUUUAAUAUUUUUAAAUUAAUUUAGAGUAGAUUAGCAAUCCCUCCUAAUCCCCGGCCUAGAACGAUACCCUACUUACAUCUAUACUACAAUUGUCAAUAAGAGGGUUUAAUUUGUGUGUCAAGUAAUUCACGCAUCAACUGCAUAAUGGGCUUUCUCCAAUCAUCUGGUAUUGCCUCGACAGCACAAACCUUUAUAGAGUCUUGUCGAUCUAACAACGAAGGUAAGGACAUGACCUUGGUGCGUAUCACGUUGUCGCGUCGGAGAAUUUGCUGGUUAACCAAGGCCGGGUAUAACUGUCGUAACACCGAUAUCUCUCAGCCUAGCUUGCCCCCAGGAGUUGUGCACCGGAGGUGAUUUAAGCCAACUCGUUUGCGUCGGUAUUAUAGAUUCGGGAAAUAUGCUCGAAUGUAAUACCGUCGAAGGACUCGGCCAAAUAGCUGGCAACCAUGUGGUAGGGUGCCAGAGUACAACUCAUGCAGCGGAAAAACCCAUUAAGUUGGUUAAUCACAAGUUCAGAAUCACCGAUGACGAGGGCACGAGUGGCCCGCAAGUCACGAAGGAGGCCAAGGCCGAUGAUAAGGGCUUCGUAUUCGGCCUGAUUAUUGGUGCAGUCGAAAUCCAACUUAAGCGAAAAAUACCAACGAUCGUGGUUAGGAGAUUGAAUGACGAUGCCAACGUCGGUCGAGGAUGAAGUACUAGAACCAUCAAAAUACAUCGUCGAGUAGUUGUCGCGAGUUGCAACCAUGCCGAUUUCGACAUCAGUGUCCCCAAAAUCGUAGGGGGAAGGGUGUUGAGCAAGGAAGUCGGCCAACGCCUGGCCUUUGACAGCUUUCUGGGGCACGUAUUGCAAGCUAAACUCGGACAACGCCAUCGUCCAUUUCCCAAUUCGACCUUUUACGAUUGGCCGGGUAAGCAUGUACCGGAUAACGUCGGUCUGGGCAAUGACUUGUGUGACCGACGGAAGCAUGUAAUGUCGAAGCUUGGAGGCGGCGAAGAACACGGCAAGACAGAGCUUCUCAACAGCGGAAUAAUUGAUUUCGGGUUGAUUGAGAUUUUGACUGAGGUAAAAAAUAGCCUGCUCCUGCCCGGCAUCGUUAUCUUGGGCAAUGAGGUAGCCGAUGGAUGCUUCAGCCGCUGAAAUAUAUAGUUUGAGAGGUUUACCAUGCCGGGGUGGAACAAGAACAGGUGGCAUCGUGAGGGAGACUUUGAUUUGUGUAAACGCUGCCUGAUGCUCAUCGGUCCACUCAAAAUUAUUUGAGUCCUUAAGUUUCAAAAGCGUCGAGAACGCUUUCAUUUUACCCGCCGAGUGAGCUAUAAAUCGGCGGAGAAAAUUUAUCUUGCCGAGUAAAGACUGCAAUUGUUUCUUCGUCGUCAGGGGUGGAGCACUGAUGAUUGCACGUGCUUUAUUUUCGUCCACUUCAAUUCCACGGUGAUGCACUAGAAAACCGAGAAAAUUACCGGCCGACAUACCGAAUGCACAUUUGGCAGGAUUCAUUUUGAGAUUAUGAUGACGCAUACGAAGGAAAGCUUGUCAGAUAUCAUCCAGAUGAAUCCGUCGUUGUUUGGAUUUAAUUACCACAUCGUCGAUAUAGACUUCGACAAUGGUUCCAAUUAAAUCAUGAAAUAUGGUGUUCAUUGCCCGUUGGUAUGUGGCGCCGGCGUUUUUUAGGCCGAAUGGCAUGACAACCCAUUCGUAAGUGCCGAGUGCCCCCGGGCAGCGAAAAGCAGUUUUGUGCACGUUAGCUUCGGCAAUGAAAAUUUGGUUGUACCCGGCAUGUCCAUCCACAAAGGAUAAGAUCGCAUGGUUUACCGCAGCAUCGAUCAACAGAUCCGAAAUCGUCAUUGUAUACUCAUCUUUGGGAGUUGCCAGAUUCAGAUUUCUGAAAUCGAUGCAAAUGCGCAAUGCACCAUUUUUCUUUAAAACAGGAACGAUAUUGGCCAACCAUUCAACAUAUCGAGCUGUCCAAAUGAACCCGGCUUUCAAAAGCUGAACUAAUUCAUCCUUGAUACCGAGUUGCACUUCGGUUGAGAAGCAUCGAGGUGGUUGACGGAAAGGUUUACAUCCAUGUUUAAUACGCAACUUAUGCUCGACGAGAGUACGAUCUAAGCCAGGCAUUUCAUGAUAGCUCCAAGCAAAACAAUCUUUAAAUUCCUCAAGCAGGGCACGAAGUUCGGCCUUCAUAGGUUGGGGAAGUAAAGUACUAACAAAUAAAGGUCGUGGGUCAUCGGCCAUCCCAACAUUAACUUCCUCCAAGGGAUCUUUGACUUGGGGCUGAUUAUCUUCGAGCUCGGCCAGGGCGGCUUGAAUUUUGUCAAGAGACAGGACAGGACCAUUAUCUCCUUCGGCGAGGAACUCGACGAGGUUAAAGCCCGAAUUUGGUUGUUUAGAUAUAGUAUACCAAUGGGCCAGCAGUCGUUCCAUAGUGUAUGAAACCGCGGCCCUACGUUUUUCCCGAUCGGUGUCAAACAUUAGGGUCAGGGAUGAAAUUAGCUAAACCGAGUCUCGCUGAAUCCUGAUGGACAGUUUCGGCGCCAACCUCGAUAGCUUUUUGAACAGAAAUCUAAGUCGACCGUCCUUCGUCAUUGAAACCCUGUAGGGUAAUAUAGCCGAUGUGGUCAUCAUAAUACCGUGCCUGGAUCAUGUUGGUUUCGAAAGGCUGACUAUCGGCUCGGUGAACAAUGACUGACUUGCAGUCCCAGAAAACUAGCACUUGAUAUAAUGAUAAAGGAAUACAGCUGGUUUGAUGAAUCCAGUCUCGACCGAGCAGUGCAUUAUACUCGGUUUUGGAGUUGACGAUAAAAAAGGCGGUCAUGUGAUUACGGCCGGUAAUAUUUACUGCUAAAGGAAGCACCCUUUUGGUUUGGGACUUGUCCCCAACGAAACUGCUCAUUGUGAUCCCGGAGGGAAUGAGUUCGUCGUUGGACCGACAUAACACCUUCAUAAUGUUUACAGGCAUGAUAUUGACAGUGGCUCCACAGUCGACAAAAACUUUGGAGACUGGAUAUCCUUCGAUAUGGGCCGUGACAUACACUGGCUUUAAAUGAUGAAGGUUAGUCGAUGAUGAGCGAGGAAACAGUUCGGCCAAAGCUGCUUUGAUGUUGUUAUCCUUUGUUGUCGAGUCCUCGUUUGCAAUAGUUACAAAAUCAAUAUGGCCGGCUUCCUCGGCAAUUACGUCACCAUCAAGAAAAUUUGGUUGGGAUGUGCUCGACUGAAAAUCAGCCCGUGAAACAUAGACCAUACUGAUUUCCAUGUUAUCCAGGACCGAUGGACCCAUCGGGUUACAAUCAUCAUCUUCAACCUCUUCUUUUUCCUGGUCACCGACUGCAGCAUCUGUUCCCGUCAAAGUUGUACUAAGAGAUUCCUCUGUUCCUUCAAUGGUUGGCUCCCGCGGUGUCUCCUUGGAAGCCUGUUCGUUCUGUGUAUGUGCCUUAGGUGCGCCUGAAAUCGGAAUUGUAUCUGGAUUGACGCUAGGAUACGAGCUUGUUCCUGAUACAUUAUACGGGCAUCCCUGGUAUCGAGAUAGGCAUCUAACCGUGCCACUCAUGCUAUCUCAUCGACUGUGAGGCCAAAGAGAGAAACGGCCGAAAAGACCUCGAAGUGGUAUCGUAAAUAUUGAAGAUCCUCCAUGGAGAAGGGAAGGUCGGCUGCAUCAAUAUCAGUAUAUGGGUCGACUUCAAAGCCAAGAACUCGAGCUUCUCGUAUGUGCUGGAACCUAGCUUUCAAUCCUGGGUCUAAGGUCUUCUGAAUAAUUCGCUCAGCAUCCGGGCAGGUUAAGACGAGAUCAAUCGUAUCUUGACAUGCUUUCGGCAAACCAUAUAGAUCGUUGGCCGAAUGAUGUUUAUGAAACUCUUGCAUAUAUCCUAAGGCCUCCCCGAGAAAUGGUGGAUGUAAAUUCCGUUGAAUUUUGAUCAAAGGUUCUUGCGGGGUUGGUGGGGACAGUUUGUUGUCCGCUUCUUUCUUGAAGUGAUUGAAGCAUGCCUUCAUUUCUCCAGGCCGAAAAAGAAGUUUGAUCCGUUUAUCAGCCUCCUCAAACAUGGUCUCAACAUCUUGAUUAACUAGCCGUUUUCCUUGAACCAACUCUGUCAUAAUAGUUGGAGUUGGUCGUUCAUCAUCAGUGACAAUUGUGUCCUUCGACCGCUAUUUAGGGACCGAAGUUUCUUGGGCUGCCUGUCGGCGGGCCAUGCAAUCUAUCCUUUGGUGCAAGCAUUUCUGAGAUUUGGACAGUGCGGUAUAGACGCCUUUCGAAUAGUGAUAUGUAUACCAACGUUGAUCUCUAGGUUCGGGAGGUUUGAAAGUUUUUAGCUCCGAGAUGAUUCUGAGCUGCUAGAGUUACGUAUAUAGUAGUCCUCGUCAUAAAAUAAAACAUCAAAAUCAAGGUGCCGCCUGACUGAGGGUGUCUCUUCCAUCCUCACUUUAGGACCGAGCCUAUAAAAAACCCCUUGAUGAUGGCCUACGUUGGCUACCUUUUGCUGGGUUGCGGCCGCAGGUCGUUCUGUUAUAAGCGAAAAGGGCUUCUCCUCUGGCUCACUGUUGACCUUUGCUCUACAUUUACUGCAUAAAACCGCCGUCCCACUAUCUUCAUCGGUGCUGUAAUUAACAUAGGUUUGACAAUAACGGGUCCCAUUAAAGCUGUAGGUGGUUUGUUUGAACAAAAAUCGGCCAUGAAACGUGGUCGAGAAUUCUGAUUCCGAAAGCGUUGCGUCGUAACAACUUUGGCCUUCCCUUUCCCUUUGUCCUUAGGUAGGCACGCAUCAACCAUAUUUACUGUUGCCGUGGGGAACGGGUCAGUAUCAACGCUCAUCUUCUUCUCAGGAAAUUUCAGUUUGCCAUUAUCAAUCCAGCUUUGGACGUUGUCUCGAAACACGACGUAAUUGUUUGUCAUAUGUUUGCUUGAAUUGUGGUAUUUGCAAUAUAUUUUUCCUUUAAGCUCUUCGGCCUUGGGAAUGUUGUGCCCAGGCCGAAGUUUGAUGAUCCUCGCUGAUAACAGUUGAUCAAAAAUUGCAUCGGCUUUUGUAAUAUCAAAAGUAUAAAAUUUUGACGGUUUCAGUGUUCCUUCAGUGGCUGAGCGGAUUUUGACUUCCUUAGAGUCAACUUGAGUCAGUGCCUUGCAAACGUAAGGCUUAUCUAUCACUAUCUCAGCUGCAUCCACACUAACGCAUUCAUCCUCGGUUGAUGCAUAAUUAACAGUAGGAUUCUUGUAAAUCGUCCCCCGAGAUGAAGCUUUCGAAAUCUUUUCCUCGCGGAGCAAAUAAUCAUACUGCUCGACAUGUUAGGCUAAUUGGUACAUAUCCCGAAAGUUUGCCCCCAAGAAUUUCUUUUUGUAUUCGACGUCGAGACCGUUCAGAGCAAGCUUGACGAAUUCGACUUCGGGGAGAGGUACUCGACACCAAUUCCUGGCUGAUUUAAAUCUGGUAAGAUAAUCCAUUGGUGAUUCAUCAGAUGCUUGAGCUAUCCUUGCUAGCGAGGAUACUGACAUUUCCAUUCCCGACCGAUAAAACUGCUCAUGAAAUUUCUCGACCAACUCCUCCCAACUCUGGAUGGAGUUCGGUGGGAGGUUAAUAUACCAAGCGAACGCUCAACCAGUCAGCGAAAAAUUGAAAAGUCGCAGCUUGUGAAAAUCACUAUUGACGUCUCCGCAUUGCGCGGUGAAACGAGCUGCAUGUUCUAACGAUGAUAAGGAUGAUUCUCCAGCAAAAAGGCUAAAAUCCGGGAUUUUAAAACCUCUAGGGUAUUCGAACUGUUCCACAUAAGCUGGAUAUGGGUGUAUAAACUUAGGGAACUUCGGCCCCUUCUUCAUGGCCGAAUCGAUCAUCUGUUAGACCUUGGUCAUAUCGACGGGUGGUGCUUCCACUCUCUGGUCGGAUCCAUCUGACCUACUAUUCGAUCCUCCUCCCCUCUCCAAGUUAAUUGGUUUGAGCCGAGCAGGGAUUGGCUCGGCCGGUGCACUUGGUAAUAGAUUGUUCCUCGGUGGAAAAUGCUGGGCAAGAUCGAAAGUUCUACCGUCGCUGACCUUACUAACCAGUAUUUCGAGUAAUCUGGUUUGUGCCUCACUGGUAUUGCGUAACACGUCAUGAAGUUUAUCGAUUCCUCGACUAAGCGUCUAUUCAACCGUCCGAGAUUGCUCAUCAAGCCGUUUUCGAAGAAACGACCUUGUUGGUGGAUCAGAUCCUUCGCCACCAUCAUCGUCGCAAUCCUCUAUUAUCCCUUCAUUGAGGACGCAUGUGUUCCUGUCGAGGAUUUCGAGAUUGCGAAACUGACCGCCGAGAUUAACUUCCCUUUCUCGGCGAGUUCGCUCGUGGACUCAGGUGUCACGGCGCUGACGGGAUUCUGCGCUUGUGGCACAUUGUGUCUUAUGUUCUGAGUUGGUAAAUCGGCUGUCGACUUUCCCAUAGCUGUUUUCUUUUUUACCGAUCGUGUUUCAAUUGGCAUGAACUUCGUAGUUUAGCACUGGGUCCUACUGGGCGUGCCAAAAUGUUGACCCUAAAAACUACCAAGCCUACGUGGCGCGCAAGCCGAGUAAUCUAUAAGCUAACUACAUCCUUCGGUGAAUGCGGGGCGUGCCAACUCGUCGGCCGAGCUCGGUCGAGGAGUAAAUUUGUUGUUGUUGCGUUGGGCUCGCAGCUGACUUCUCCGUCUUGGGAUUGCGACCGAGGAAGGAACACGUCUCGACCUUUUGGGUUCUCGAACCUAAAGACAGGGUUACUAUUCUUACGAAGUUCACGAAUCGCCGUCGUCAGAUUCGGUCACCGUGAUGUUAUUCGUCAGAGUAAACUCACGCCGAAUUGACACCAAAGUGUAAGGGCACAAAUACUCAAAUCGAAUAUAAGUCUUUAUAGUGAACGUGGUUCGGCCGUCUGAAUGCCGAACUCUGAAUCCCACUUGAGAGUAUCCAAUCAUAAAAUAACUCGGCAUGCAAUGCGCCGAGCUUAGUAAAUUGUAACACCUCACUUCGCCGAGAAAGCUAAUGAGAUGACCUCAAUCAAUAAGGAUUCAGAAAUCCUUCUCGACCGAGACUUGGAUAGGUAACCAACCGUCCUCGCCGCAGUGCUGUUGAUGCCAACGGAAGAUACUGCGAGAUCGGCCGAUUCUACGGCGACAGAGCUAUCUAUGCCGACUUAAGGUGUCACCGGUUGCUUUCACAGUGCUGUUGAUGCCAACGGAAGAUGUGUCAGCGAAAAGAGAAAAUAAAAAUCUCAAGUUGUUGAGAAAGUUUGCGCAGGGCAGUUGUGUGUUGAAUUGGAGGGGCUUUA
rnacentral:lncRNA from 1 species